GGAGGGAUGUCGGAGUGGUCUAACGUGCAUGACUCGAAAUCAUGUGUGCGGUUCAAACCGCACCGAGGGUUCAAAUCCCUCUCCCUCCGCCA
rnacentral:tRNA from 1 species